rnacentral:rRNA from 1 species
CAUGCAAGUCGAACGGUAACAGGAAGAAGCUUGCUUCUUUGCUGACGAGUGGCGGACGGGUGAGUAAUUUCUGGGAAACUGCCUGAUGGAGGGGAUAACUACUGGAAACGGUAGCUAAUACCGCAUAACGUCGCAAGACCAAAGAGGGGGACCUUCGGGCCUCUUGCCAUCGGAUGUGCCCAGAUGGGAUUAGCUAGUAGGUGGGGUAACGGCUCACCUAGGCGACGAUCCCUAGCUGGUCUGAGAGGAUGACCAGCCACACUGGAACUGAGACACGGUCCAGACUCCUACGGGAGGCAGCAGUGGGGAAUAUUGCACAAUGGGCGCAAGCCUGAUGCAGCCAUGCCGCGUGUAUGAAGAAGGCCUUCGGGUUGUAAAGUACUUUCAGCGGGGAGGAAGGGAGUAAAGUUAAUACCUUUGCUCAUUGACGUUACCCGCAGAAGAAGCACCGGCUAACUCCGUGCCAGCAGCCGCGGUAAUACGGAGGGUGCAAGCGUUAAUCGGAAUUACUGGGCGUAAAGCGCACGCAGGCGGUUUGUUAAGUCAGAUGUGAAAUCCCCGGGCUCAACCUGGGAACUGCAUCUGAUACUGGCAAGCUUGAGUCUCGUAGAGGGGGGUAGAAUUCCAGGUGUAGCGGUGAAAUGCGUAGAGAUCUGGAGGAAUACCGGUGGCGAAGGCGGCCCCCUGGACGAAGACUGACGCUCAGGUGCGAAAGCGUGGGGGAGCAAACAGGAUUAGAUACCCUGGUAGUCCACGCCGUAAACGAUGUCGACUUGGAGGUUGUGCCCUUGAGGCGUGGCUUCCGGAGCUAACGCGUUAAGUCGACCGCCUGGGGAGUACGGCCGCAAGGUUAAAACUCAAAUGAAUUGACGGGGGCCCGCACAAGCGGUGGAGCAUGUGGUUUAAUUCGAUGCAACGCGAAGAACCUUACCUGGUCUUGACAUCCACAGAACUUUCCAGAGAUGGAUUGGUGCCUUCGGGAACUGUGAGACAGGUGCUGCAUGGCUGUCGUCAGCUCGUGUUGUGAAAUGUUGGGUUAAGUCCCGCAACGAGCGCAACCCUUAUCUUUUGUUGCCAGCGGUCCGGCCGGGAACUCAAAGGAGACUGCCAGUGAUAAACUGGAGGAAGGUGGGGAUGACGUCAAGUCAUCAUGGCCCUUACGACCAGGGCUACACACGUGCUACAAUGGCGCAUACAAAGAGAAGCGACCUCGCGAGAGCAAGCGGACCUCAUAAAGUGCGUCGUAGUCCGGAUUGGAGUCUGCAACUCGACUCCAUGAAGUCGGAAUCGCUAGUAAUCGUGGAUCAGAAUGCCACGGUGAAUACGUUCCCGGGCCUUGUACA